UCCUAGGAGGACUAGUGGUUAGACCACGGCGCUCUCAAUGCCGUGGCCCGGGUUCGAUUCCUGGCCAGGGAA